UUAAGCUAAUAAGAGCGCAGGGAGGAUGCCUUGGCAUCAGGAGCCGAAGAAGGACGUGGUAAGCUGCGAAAAGCUACGGGGAUUGGCAAGCACGAUAUGAUCCGUAGAUGUCCGAAUGGAGCAAUCCACAUGGAGUCAAGUCCAUGUAUCAUAUACUGAAUAAAUAGGUAUAUGAGGGGAACCGCCCGAACUGAAACAUCUAAGUAGGGCGAGGAAAAGAAAUCAACCGAGAUUCUGUGAGUAGUGGCGAGCGAAAGCGGAAGAGGCUAAACCGAGAGGAGCAAUCCUUUCGGGGUUUAGGACUGCAUUUAGUACAAUGAUUGUUAACCGAACAGCAUGGGAAGGCUGAUCAGAGAAGGUGAGAAUCCUGUAGGUGAAAACGAAAGUUGACGAGCAGUAUCCGAAGUACCGCGGGGCACGUGAAAUCCCGUGGGAAGAUGGGGGGACCAUCCUCCAAGCCUAAAUACUACCUGAUGACCGAUAGCGAAAAGUACUGUGAAGGAAAGGUGAAAAGCACCCCGGGAGGGGAGUGAAAGAGAACCUGAAACCCUGUGCUUACAAGCACUUAGAGCACGUCAAAGUGUGAUAAGGUACCUAUUGUAGAAUGGUCCGGCGAGUUAUUGUAUGCAGCGAGGUUAAGUAGUUCAGCUACGGAGCCGAAGUGAGAGCGAGUGUUAACAGCACGUUCAGUUGCAUGCAAUAGACCCGAAACCGGGUGACCUAUCCAUGUCCAGGAUGAAGUGAGGGUAAAACCUCAUGGAGGUCCGAACCCACUCCCGUUGAAAUGGUAGGGGAUGAGGUGUGGAUAGCGGAGAAAUUCCAAUCGAACCCGGAUAUAGCUGGUUCUCCCCGAAAUAGUUUUAGGACUAGCCUCGUGAUUAAGAUUAUCGGAGGUAAAGCACUGAAUGGCCUAGGGGUCGAGAGAUUACCGAAGCCUAUCAAACUCUGAAUGCCGAAUAAUCAUGCACGGGAGUCAGACUGUGUGAGAUAAGUUUCAUAGUCGAAAGGGAAACAGCCCAGACCUACAGCUAAGGUCCCAAAGUACGUUUAAGUGGAAAACGAUGUGAAAUUGCGUAGACAACCAGGAUGUUGGCUUAGAAGCAGCCAUACAUUAAAAGAGUGCGUAAUAGCUCACUGGUCGAGUGACUUUGCGCGGAAAAUUUAACGGGGCUAAAACGUACACCGAAGCUUAGGCUUGUCACAAUGUGACAGGGGUAGGGGAGCGUUGAAUGAGGGGUGAAGUCGUAGCGAAAGCGACGGUGGACUUCAUUCAAGUGAGAAUGCCGGAAUGAGUAGCGAGAAUUAUGUGAGAAUCAUAAUGGCCGAAAGCCUAAGGUUUUUGGAGGAAGGUUCGUCCGCUCCAAGUAAGUCGGAAGCUAAGGUGAGGCUGAAAAGCGUAGCCGAUGCACAAACGGUUGAAAUUCCGUUACCACAGAAAGAUUUAAACUAAGGGACACUUUUGAAGAGCUGAUGCCGGGUGUUGGUUACCCCGGUCGUAAGGGAACGAAAUUAAGUAGUGAAGUCAGCGUGGAUGAAGGCGAGAAAAGCUUAGUGUAUAUCUUAUGUGUCCGUACCGCAAACCGACACAGGUAGGUAGGAAGAGAAUUCUAAGGCCAACGGGAGAAGGGUAGUUAAGGAACUCGGCAAAAUGUCCCCGUAACUUCGGAAUAAGGGGAGGUUUCUACGGAAACCCGCAGAGAAUAGUCCCAGGCAACUGUUUAUCAAAAACACAGCUCUAUGCUAAAUCGAAAGAUGACGUAUAUGGGGUGACGCCUGCCCGGUGCCGGAAGGUUAAGAGGAGGAGUGAGAGCCCUGAAUCGAAGCCCCGGUAAACGGCGGCCGUAACUAUAACGGUCCUAAGGUAGCGAAAUUCCUUGUCAGGUAAGUUCUGACCCGCACGAAUGGCGUAAUGAUCUGGGAGCUGUCUCAACUGCCCGCCCGGCGAAAUUGUAGUACCGGUGAAGAUGCCGGUUACCCGCGACUAGACGGAAAGACCCCAUGGAGCUUUACUGUAGCUUAAUAUUGGAUUUCGGCAUUUCAUGUACAGGAUAGGUGGGAGACUAGGAAACAUAGGCGUCAGCUUAUGCGGAGUCGUCCUUGGGAUACCACUCUUGGAGUGCUGAAAUUCUAACCUGCAGCCCUGAAUCGGGUUGGGGGACAUUGUUAGGUGGGCAGUUUGACUGGGGCGGUCG
rnacentral:rRNA from 1 species